AGAUUGAACGCUGGCGGCAGGCCUAACACAUGCAAGUCGAGCGGCAGCACGGGUACUUGUACCUGGUGGCGAGCGGCGGACGGGUGGGUAAUGCCUAGGAAUCUGCCUGGUAGUGGGGGAUAACGCUCGGAAACGGACGCUAAUACCGCAUACGUCCUACGGGAGAAAGCAGGGGACCUUCGGGCCUUGCGCUAUCAGAUGAGCCUAGGUCGGAUUAGCUAGUUGGUGGGUAAUGGCUCACCAAGGCGACGAUCCGUAACUGGUCUGAGAGGAUGAUCAGUCACACUGGAACUGGACACGU
rnacentral:rRNA from 1 species